ACCACUAGAUUGACAGUAGAGGGGCUUGUUUUAGUUUGUCACCACUAGAUUGACAGUAGAGGGGCUUGUUUUAGUUUGUCACCACUAGAUUGACAGUAGAGGGGCUUGUUUUAGUUUGUCACCACUAGAUUGACAGUAGAGGGGCUUGUUUUAGUUUGUCACCACUAGAUUGACAGUAGAGGGGCUUGUUUUAGUUUGUCACCACUAGAUUGACAGUAGAGGGAGACGGCUUGUUUUAGUUUGUCACCACUAUUUGCAUUGCCAGGUUCACUAAAGUGUUCUUGUCCAGUUUGUGGCCUUGGCACACUCUGAUACUCAGCUGAUAAGCAGUGGGAGGUGCAGGCCAGGUGCAGGCACACACACACACACACAGCAGGAAAAACUUCAAAGUCCACACUACAUUUGCGCUCCACCUGUUGUUGCUCACAUAUUUCUUCUGUCCACCAUGUCUUCUAGAAACGGUUCUAACUAGAGGAAGUACAGCUACAACUGGAAGUUACCUUUUUUCCUAGCAGGUUAGGAGACUUAGGUUAAGGUUAGGGAAAGGGUUGGGGCUGGCUAAAAUGCUCUCCUAACCUGCUGUAAAAAGUAACUCCUGGUAGCUGCACUCCCUCUAGUCACAAGACUUAUUGAAAUACAAUCUUUGUCUGAUUGGAACACACCAUGAUGUGAUUGUGAUGGGCCAGUAGGUGUAUAGUGUGAUUGUGAUGGGCCAGUAGGUGUAUAGUGUGAUUGUGAUGGGCCAGUAGGUGUAUAGUGUGAUUGUGAUGGGCCAGUAGGUGUAUAGUGUGAUUGUGAUGGGCCAGUAGGUGUAUAGUGUGAUUGUGAUGGGCCAGUAGGUGUAUAGUGUGAUUGUGAUGGGCCAGUAGGUGUAUAGUGUGAUUGUGAUGGGCCAGUAGGUGUAUAGUGUGAUUGUGAUGGGCCAGUAGGUGUAUAGUGUGAUUGUGAUGGGCCAGUAGGUGUAUAGUGUGAUUGUGAUGGGCCAGUAGGUGUGUAGUGUGAUUGUGAUGGGCCAGUAGGUGUGUAGUGUGAUUGUGAUGGGCCAGUAGGUGUAUAGUGUGAUUGUGAUGGGCCAGUAGGUGUAUAGUGUGAUUGUGAUGGGCCAGUAGGUGUAUAGUGUGAUUGUGAUGGGCCAGUAGGUGUAUAGUGUGAUUGUGAUGGGCCAGUAGGUGUAUAGUGUGAUUGUGAUGGGCCAGUAGGUGUGUAGUGUGAUUGUGAUGGGCCAGUAGGUGUGUAGUGUGAUCACUACAGUUCAACAUCUAGACAUAUUUGGGUCUAUACAAUGUAGAUUUCCUCUAAGAGGAGUUGACAGAUGCAUUGGACGUGAUGCUAGUCAGCCAACACGUGGAGUCAUAAGACCAGACAGUAGUUCCUGCUAGCUGUUAACCCCUGCAGCUCUGUUCCUUCUAGUAGCCACUCUGUUCAGGGGAACCUUAACUCUCUCCAUGUGAUUCCCCAGGUCACACAGUGAGACCACAUAAGUGUUAUGAUUAUAUUCAUGGCUCCUACAUCUAAUAGCACUGCAUCUUCAACAUGAUUACCAUGGGAACCUAGAAAGCCCAGAGUCACAAUGACUGCCUGAAAGUAUAGGCUACUUAUUAUUCUCUCUCAUUAUUAGUUAUUUGUCCUGUGGUGACUUGACACACAACAACAGAAUGGUUCAAUCUCUACACCAAUAGGUGCUCCUAUUCCUGCUCCUGGUUUUUGGGAGGUGGGUGCAUUGACCAGAGUUUUCUCUGUCCUAAAAAAUGCUUUCUGGGGUGGAUGGGAAUUUAGUUGCUAGUUGAGUUACAUAUUUUUUUGCUUGAAUGUUGUUACGUAUAUGAUCAUUUUUAAAUAACUUAUCUCAUAAACCACACAAAUCCUUACUUAUUAGCAAACAUGUUUAUGCUCAGGUGGCUCCUUUUUUGCUGGAGAGCAUCACCAGAGGAGAGCAUCACCAGAGGAGAGCAUCACCAGAGGAGAGCAUCACCAGAGGAGAGCAUCACCAGAGGACAACAUUCUAUCUCUUUAAUAUUUGCCUUCAUC